rnacentral:lncRNA from 1 species
GAAAAACUUGCUACAGGUAGAAUCCACACGUAAAACUAAUCAUGUUGCUACAGAAGUGUAGAAGCACUAUGGUGAUCAUCAAGCUCGUGCUAGGUGACUCGCUCUGGCAGCCAUUGUGGGAACACUUUAUCAUUGCCGACCAAACAAUAUCGUCCACUGCAAGACCGUGGACAAAGCCUCCGCCAUGCUUGCAAGUCAGGCACUAUCCGUCGGGGAGCUCGGCAAGGCAUGUACCACUAGCUAAAUGUCCGCCAUUUGCACUGCAAAAAUUCAAGAUCAUAGCAAGAGCUUAGUAUUAAUGUUGUCUUUCUCAGGUGAAUGGCAAAAAGAAUCGGUCGAGUAUUUGCCGAGAAGAUAGGAGAUGGCUACUUACCAAAUCUUAGUUGAGGAUGUAACCUGAAAAAAUAAACUAACAAGGGGGACUCCACAAAAAUAAUCACUAUGACCUUUAUAAACCAGAGAACACAUACAGCCACAAUAUGAAGGAUCACUCAAUAGCAGCAAGAGAAUCAUAUGAGAACUACAAUCUUAGUGACAAACAGUUAGACAUUUCCAUAGUAGUACUGCAUCUUCAUGUCUUCUCCAACAAAAGCAGUACAGACCAACUUGGAAUAGUAUACAAAACAAGAAACAAACUGUGUAAGAUCUUAUCCGUUAAUUGAUUAUGAUUCAGGCAAAGGAAAACUCGGAACAGGCAUGUAAGAUGAUACAUAAUCAUUCAGACUAGAAACAAACAUCCACCUAAUCAAUCGAGUGACUGAUGACGACUUGUACAAUACAAGGUAUAAAGAAUGUUUAUAAGCACGAUUCCUCCAGACAAACAUGUGCAACUGAACGAGCAUCUGACCCUAAUUAUAAACAUAAACGAAUGCAAAUAAAAAUGAAUAUACACCAAACUUGGGAUAAUAUAUAUUUUCUAAGCUUGGCAGAAUAUUGCCUAUAUAAUAUCUACAGAGAGACAAUCACUUGCCCGGUCUGUUUGGAGUGUAACCUGUAUUGGCUUAAGCUGGGUAAUGAAUGACUGCUCAGACGAUAUAGCCUUCAAAUAGAGACAAAAUUAGCAAAGCCACACUCAAACAAGGAAAAAAAACUAUUGAACAAAAAUAAGGCACCCAGAGGAGUGAUGUUUUUCAGAAUAACAUCUCCUCUCUAGUCCAGUACAGUAGUUGCAGAGAACAAUAUAUCAAUGUCAG